GAUGAACGCUGGCGGCGUGCCUAAUACAUGCAAGUAGAACGCUGAAGGAAGGAGCUUGCUCUUUCCGGAUGAGUUGCGAACGGGUGAGUAACGCGUAGGUAACCUGCCUGGUAGCGGGGGAUAACUAUUGGAAACGAUAGCUAAUACCGCAUAACAGUAGAUGUUGCAUGACAUCUGCUUGAAAGGUGCAAUUGCACCACUACCAGAUGGACCUGCGUUGUAUUAGCUAGUUGGUGAGGUAACGGCUCACCAAGGCGACGAUACAUAGCCGACCUGAGAGGGUGAUCGGCCACACUGGGACUGAGACACGGCCCAGACUCCUACGGGAGGCAGCAGUAGGGAAUCUUCGGCAAUGGACGGAAGUCUGACCGAGCAACGCCGCGUGAGUGAAGAAGGUUUUCGGAUCGUAAAGCUCUGUUGUAAGAGAAGAACGAGUGUGAGAGUGGAAAGUUCACAC
rnacentral:rRNA from 1 species